GGUGGGGCCUUAAACUAGGAGUGUCAGAGCUGGGAGGGGCUUGAAACUGGGAGUGUCAGAUCUGGGAGGGUCAUUAAACCGGGAGAGUCAGAGGUGGCAGGGGCCUGAACAGGGAGUAUCAGAGAUUGGAGGGGCCUUAAUCAGGGUUUGUGUGAGGUUGGAGGGGCCUUAAGAGGAAGUGUCAGAGGUGGGAGGGGCCUUAAACAGGGUGUGUCAGAGUUGGGAUGAGCCUUAUACAGGGAGUAUCAGAGAUGGGUCGGCCCUUAAACAGGGAGGGUCAGAGGUUGGAGGGGCCCUAAAAAGGGAGUGUCAGAAGUGGGAUGAGCCUUAUACAGGGAGUAUCAGAGAUGGGUCGGCCCUUAAACAGGGAGGGUCAGAGGUGGGAAGGGCUUUAGAACAAGGAGUGUCACAUGUGGGAGAGUCCUUAAACAGGGAGUGUCACAGGUUGGAGGGGCCCUAAAAAGGGAGUGACAGAAGUGGGAGGGGCCUUAAACAGGGAGUAUCAGAGAUGGGAGGGUCCUUAUACAGGGAGUGUCAGAUGUGGGAGGGGCCUUAAACAGGGUGAGUCAGUGUUGGAAUGGGCCUUAAACAGGGAGUGUCAUAGGUGGAAGAGUCCUUAAACAAGGAGUCUUAGAGAUGGUAUGGGACUUAAACAAGGAGUGUGAGAUCUGGGAGAGUCAUUAAACAGGGAGAGUCAGAGGUGGGAGGGGCCUUAAACAGGAAGUGUCAGAGUUGGGAGGGGCCUUAAAAAGGGAAUGUUAGAGAUGGUAGGGGCCUCAAACAGGGAGUGUCAGAGGUGGGAGGGUCCUUAAACAGGAAGUGUCAGAGGUGGGAGUGUCCUUAAAUACCCUGUGUCUGAUGUGGGAGGGGCCUUAAAGAGGCAGUGUCAGAGGAGGGAGGGAACGAAAACAGGGAGUGUCAGAGGUGGGAGGGGCUUUAAUCAGGGAGUGUCACAGGUGGGAGGGGCCUUAAAUAUGCUGUGUCUGAUGUGAUAGGGGCCUUAAACAAAGAGUGUCAGAGGAGGGAGGGGAGGAAAACAGGAAGUGUCAGAGGUGGGCGGGGCCCCAAACAGGGAGUGUCAGAGAUGGGAGGGGCCUUAACAGGUAAUGUCACAGGUGGAUGGGGCCUUUAACAGGGAGUGUCAGAGCUGGGAGUGUCAUUAAACAGGGAGAGUCACAGGUGGGAGUAUUCUUUAAGAGGUGGUGUCAGAGGUUGGGGGGGACUUAAACAGGGAGUGUCAGAGAAGGAGGAGCCAUAGAAUAUGGUGUGUCAGAGCUGUGGGAGGCUUAGAAUACCAGUGUCAGAGCUGGGAUGGGCCUUAAACAGGGAGUAACAGAGAUGGGAGGGGGCAAAAACAGGGACUGUCAGAGGUUGGGGGGCCUUAAACAGGGAGUGUUAGAGGUGGGAGGGGCCUUAACAAGGCAGUGUCAGGCGUGGGAGGGGCCUUAAAUACGCUAUGUCUGAUGUGGGAGGGGCCUCUUAAACAAGGAGUGUCAGAGGUGGGAGGGAAUGGAAACAAGGAGUAUCAGAGGUGGGAGGGGCUUUAAACAGGGAGUGUCACAGGUGGGAGGGGCCAUAAAUAUGCUGUGUCUGAUGUGGGAAGAGCCUUAAACAGGGAGUGUCAGAGAUGGGAGGGGCUAUAAACUGGGAGUGUCAGAGCUGGGAGGGGCCUGAAACAGGGAGUGUCAGAGGUGGGUGGGGCCUUAAACUGGGAGUAUUAGAGGUGGGAGGGGCCUUAAAUACGCUAUGUCUGAUGUGGGAGGGGCCUUAAACAGGGAGUGUCAGAGGUGGGAGGGGAUGGAAACAGGGAGUGUCAGAGAUGGGAAGGGCUUCAAACAGGGAGUGUCAGAGGUGGGAGAGGCUUUGAAACAGAACUUCAGAGAUGGGAGGAGACUUAGAAUAGGGAAUGCCAGACCUUGGAGGGACCUAAGACCAGAGAGUGUCACAGGUAGGAGGGGCCUUAAAAAGGGUGUGUCAGAGCUGGGUGUGGCCUUAAACAGGGAGUGUCAGAGGUGGGAGGGGAUGAAAACAGGGAGUGUCAGAGGUGGGAGGGCCUGAAGAAACAGGGAGUGUCAGAGCUGUGAGGGGCCUGAAAUAGGGAGUGUCAUGGUGGGAGGGGCCUUAAAAAGGGAGUGUCAGAGGUGGGUGGGGCCUUAACAGGGAGUGUCAGAGCUCAUAGUGUCAUUAAACAGGGAGAGUCACUGGUGGAAGUAUCCUUUAAGAGGCAGUGUCAGAAGUUGGGGGGCCUUAAACAGGGAGUGUAAGAAAUGGGAGGGGCCUCAAACAGGGAGUGUCAUAGAUGGGAGGGGCCAUAAACAGGGAGUGUCAGAGAUGGUAUGGGCCUUAAACAAGAAGUGUCAAAGCUGGGAGGGGCUUUAAACUGGGAGUGUCAGAGCUGGGAGGGGCCUGAAACAGGGAGUGUCAGAAGUGGGAGGGGCCUUAAACAGGGAGUGUCAGAGGUAGGAGGGGCCUUAACAGGGAGUGUCACAGGUGGGUGGGGCCUUUAACAGGGAGUGUCAGAGCUGGUAGUGUCAUUAAACAGGGAGAGUCACUGGUGGAAGUAUCCUUUAAGAGACAGUGUCAGAGGUUGGGGGGCCUUAAACAGGGAGUGUUAGAGGUGGGAGGGGCCUUAACAAGGCAGUGUCAGGCGUGGGAGGGGCUUUAAAUACGCUAUGUCUGAUGUGGGAGGGGCCUCUUAAACAAGGAGUGUCAGAGGUGGGAGGGAAUGGAAACAGGGAGUGUCAGAGGUGGGAGGGGCUUUAAACAGGGAGUGUCACAGGUGGGAGGGGCCUUAAAUAUGCUGUGUCUGAUGUGGGAAGAGCCUUAAACAGGGAGUGUCAGAGAUGGGAGGGGCCUCAAACAGGGAGUGUCAUAGAUGGGAGGGGCCUUAAACAGGGAGUGUCAGAGAUGGGAGGGGCCUCAAACAGGGAGUGUCAUAGAUGGGAGGGGCCUUAAACAGGGAGUGUCAGAGAUGGUAUGGGCCUUAAACAAGAAGUGUCAGAGCUGGGAGGGGCUAUAAACUGGGAGUGUCAGAGCUGGGAGGGGCCUGAAACAGGGAGUGUCAGAGGUGGGAGGGGCCUGAAACAGGGAGUGUCAGCGCUGAUAGUUUCAUUCAACAGGGAGAGUCAGAGGUGGGAGGGGCCUUAAACUGGGAGUAUUAGAGGUGGGAGGGGCCUUAACAAAGCAGUGUCAGGCAUGGGAGGAGCCUUAAAUACGCUAUGUCUGAUGUGGGUGUGGCCUUAAACAGGGAGUGUCAGAGGUGGGAGGGGAUGAAAACAGGGAGUGUCAGAGGUGGGAGGGGCUUUAAACAGGGAGUGUGUAAGGUGGGACGAGCCUUAAAUAUACUAUGUCUGAUGUGGGAGGGUUUUUAAAGAGGGAGUAUCAGAGAGGGGAGGAGCUUUAGAACUGGGAUUGUCAGAGCUUUGAUGGGUCUUAAACAGGGAGUGUUACUGGUGGGAGGUGUCUUAACCUGGAUGUGUCACAGGUGGGAGUGGGCUUAAACAUGGAAUGUCAGAGGUGGGAGGGCCUGAAGAAACAGGGAGUGUCAGAGCUGUGAGGGGCCUGAAAUAGGGAGUGUCAUGGUGGGAGGGGCCUUAAACAGGGAGUGUCAGGGGUGGGAGGGGCCUUAAACAGGGAGUGUCAGAGGUGGGAGGGGCCUUAACAGGGAGUGUCAGAGCUGGUAGUGUCAUUAAACAGGGAGAGUCACUGGUGGAAGUAUCCUUUAAGAGGGAGUGUCAGAAGUUGGGGGGCCUUAAACAGGGAGUGUCAGAGAUGGGAGGGGCCUCAAACAGGGAAUGUCAUAGAUGGGAGGGGCCUUAAUCAGGGAGUGUCAGAGAUGGUAUGGGCCUUAAACAAGAAGUGUCAGAGCUGGGAGGGGCUAUAAACUGGGAGUGUCAGAGCUGGGAGCGGCCUGAAACAGGGAGUGUCAGAGGUGGGAGGGGCCUUAAACAAACAGGGAGUGUCAGAGGUGGGAGGGGCCUUAAACAGGGAGUGUCACAGGUGGGUGGGGCCUUUAACAGGGAGUGUCAGAGCUGGUAGUGUCAUUAAACAGGGAGAGUCACUGGUGGAAGUAUCCUUUAAGAGGCAGUGUCAGAGGUUGGGGGGCCUUAAACAGGGAGUGUCAGAGGUGGGAGGGGCUUUAAACAGGGAGUGUCACAGGUGGGAGGGGCCUUAAAUAGGCUGUGUCUGAUGUGGGAGGGGCCUUAAGCAGGGAAUAUCAGAGAUGGGAGGGGCCUUAACCAGGGAGUGUGUGAGGUGGGAGCAGCCUUAAAAAUGCUGUGUCUGAUGGGGGAGGGGCCUUAAACAGGGAUUGUCAGAGAUGGGUGGGGCCUUAAACAGGGAGUGUCAGAGAUGGUAUGGGCCUUAAACCAGAAGUGUCAGAGCUGGAAGGGGCUUUAAACUGGGAGUGUCAGAGCUGGGAGGGUCAUUAAACAGGAAGAGUCAGAGGUGGGAGGGGCCUUAAGAGUAAGUGUCAGAGGUGGGAGCAGAAGUGGGAGGGGCCUUAAGCAGGAAGUAUCGGAGAUGGGAGGGUCCUUAUACAGGAAGUGUCAGAGCUGGGAGGGGCCUCAAACAGGGAGUGUUAGAGGUGGAAGGGGCCUUAAACAGGAAGUGUCAGAAGGGGGAGGGGCCUUAAACACGGAGUGUCAGAGAUGGGAGGGGCCUCAAACAGGGAGUGUCAGAGGUGGGAGGGGCCUUCAACAGGAAGUGUCAUAGGUGGGUGGGGCCUUCAACAGGAAGUGUCAGAGGUGGGUGGGGCCUUAAACAGGGAGUGUCAGAGAUGGUAUGGGCCUUAAACAAGAAGUGUCAAAGCUGGGAGGGGCUUUAAACUGGGAGUGUCAGAGCUGCGAGGGGCCUGAAACAGGGAGUGUCAGAGGUGGGAGGGGCCUUAACAGGGAGUGUCACAGUUGGGUGGGGCCUUUAACAAGGAGUGUCAACGCUGGUAGUGUCAUUAAACAGGGAGAGUCACUGGUGGAAGUAUCCUUUAAGAGGCAGUGUCAGAGGUUGGGGGGCCUUAAACAGGGAGUGUCAGAGCUGGGAGGGGCUGGAAACUGGGAGUGUCAGAGCUGUGAGGGUCAUUAAACAGGGAGAGUCAGAGGUGGGAGGGGCCUUAAACAGGGAGUGUCAGAGGUGGGAGGGGCCUUAACCAGGUAGUGUGUGAGGUGCGAGUGGCCUUAAAAACGCUGUGUCUGAUGGGGGAGGGGCCUUAAACAGGGAGUGUCUGAGAUCGGAGGGGCCUUAAACAGGGAGUGUCAGAGAUGGUAUGGGCCUUAAACAAGAAGUGUCAGAGCUGGGAGGAGCUUGAAACUGGGAGUGUCAGAGCUGGGAGGGGCCUGAAUCAGCAAUGUCAGAGGUGGGAGGGGCCUUAAACAAGGAGUGUCAGAGAUGGGAGGGGCCUCAAACAGGGAGUGUCAGAGGUGGGAGGGGCCUUCAACAGGAAGUGUCAUAGGUGGGUGGGGCCUUCAACAGGAAGUGUCAGAGGUGGGUGGGGCCUUAAACAGGGAGUGUCAGAGAUGGUAUGGGCCUUAAACAAGAAGUGUCAAAGCUGGGAGGGGCUUUAAACUGGGAGUGUCAGAGCUGCGAGGGGCCUGAAACAGGGAGUGUCAGAGGUGGGAGGGGCCUUAACAGGGAGUGUCACAGUUGGGUGGGGCCUUUAACAAGGAGUGUCAACGCUGGUAGUGUCAUUAAACAGGGAGAGUCACUGGUGGAAGUAUCCUUUAAGAGGCAGUGUCAGAGGUUGGGGGGCCUUAAACAGGGAGUGUCAGAGCUGGGAGGGGCUGGAAACUGGGAGUGUCAGAGCUGUGAGGGUCAUUAAACAGGGAGAGUCAGAGGUGGGAGGGGCCUUAAACAGGGAGUGUCAGAGGUGGGAGGGGCCUUAACCAGGUAGUGUGUGAGGUGCGAGUGGCCUUAAAAACGCUGUGUCUGAUGGGGGAGGGGCCUUAAACAGGGAGUGUCUGAGAUCGGAGGGGCCUUAAACAGGGAGUGUCAGAGAUGGUAUGGGCCUUAAACAAGAAGUGUCAGAGCUGGGAGGAGCUUGAAACUGGGAGUGUCAGAGCUGGGAGGGGCCUGAAUCAGCAAUGUCAGAGGUGGGAGGGGCCUUAAACAAGGAGUGUCAGAGGUGUGAGGGGCCUUAACAGGGAGUGUCACAGGUGGGUGGGGCCUUUAACAGGGAGUGUCAGAGCUGGGAGUGUCAUUAAACAGGGAGAGUCACUGGUGGAAGUAUCCUUUAAGAGGCAGUGUCAGAGGUUGGGGGGCCUUAAACUAGGAGUGUCAGAGCUGGGAGGGGCUUGAAACUGGGAGUGUCAGAUCUGGGAGGGUCAUUAAACCGGGAGAGUCAGAGGUGGCAGGGGCCUGAACAGGGAGUAUCAGAGAUUGGAGGGGCCUUUAUCAGGGUUUGUGUGAGGUUGGAGGGGCCUUAAGAGGAAGUGUCAGAGGUGGGAGGGGCCUUAAACAGGGUGUGUCAGAGUUGGGAAGGGUCUUAGAACAAGGAGUGUCACAUGUGGGAGAGUCCUUAAACAGGGAGUGUCACAGGUUGGAGGGGCCCUAAAAAGGGAGUGUCAGAAGUGGGAUGAGCCUUAUACAGGGAGUAUCAGAGAUGGGUCGGCCCUUAAACAGGGAGGGUCAGAGGUGGGAAGGGCUUUAGAACAAGGAGUGUCACAUGUGGGAGCGUCCUUAAACAUGGAGUGUCACAGGUGGGUGGGGCCUUAAGCAGGGAGUGUCUGGUGUGAAAGGGCCAUUAAUAGGGACUGUAAGAAGUGGGAGGGUUCUUAAACAGGGAAUGUCAGAGUUGGGAGGGGCCUUAAGCAGAGAAUGUCACAGGUGGGAGAGGCUUUGAAACUGGACGUCAGAGAUGGGAGGAGACUUAGAAUAGGGAAUGCCAGAGCUUGGAGGGACCUAAGACCAGAGAGUGUCACAGGUAGGAGGGGCCUUAAAAAGGGUGUGUCAGAGCUGGGUGUGGCCUUAAACAGGGAGUGUCAGAGGUGGGAUGGAAUGAAAACAGGGAGUGUCAGAGGUGGGAGGGGCUUUAAACAGGGAGUGUGUGAGGUGGGAGGGUCCUUAAAUAUGCUAUGUCUGAUGUUGGAGGGUCCUUAAACAGGGAGUAUCAGAGAUGGGAGGGGCCUUAAACAGGCAAUGUCAGAGGUGGGAGGGCCUUAAACAGGGAUAGUCAGAGAGGGGAGGAGCUUUAGAACAGGGAGUGUCAGAGCUUUGAUGGGUCUUAAACCGGAAGUGUUACUGGUGAGAGGUGUCUUAACCUGGAAGUGUCACAGGUGGGAGGGGCCUUAAACAGGGAAUGUCAGAGGUGGGAGCGGCCUGAAACAGGGAGUGUCAGAGCUGUGAGGGGCCUGAAACAGGGAGUGUCAGAGGUGGGAAGGGUCUUAAACAGGGAGUGUCAGGGGUGGGAGGGGCCUUAACAGGGAGUGUCACAGGUAGGUGGAGCCUUUAACAGGGAGUGUCAGAGCUGGGAGUGUCAUUAAACAGGGCGAGUCACUGGUGGAAGUAUCCUUUAAGAGGCAGUGUCAGGGGUUGGGGGGCCUUAAACAGGGAGUGUCAGAGAUGGUAUGGGCCUUAAACUAGGAGUGUCAGAGCUGGGAGGAGCUUGAAACUGGGAGUGUCAGAGCUGGGAGGGGCCUGAAACAGGGAGUGUCAGAGGUGGGAGGGGCCUUAAACUGGGAGUAUUAGAGGUGGGAGGUGCCUUAACAAAGCAGUGUCAGGUGUGGGAGGGGCCUUAAAUACGCUAUGUCUGAUGUGGGAGGGGUCUUAAACAGGGAGUGUCAGAGGUGGGAGGGGAUGGAAACAGGGAGUGUCAGAGAUGGGAGGGGCCUCAAACAGGGAGUGUCAGAGGUGGGAGAGGCUUUGAAACGGAACUUCAGAGAUGGGAGGAGACUUAGAAUAGGGAAUGCCAGACCUUGGAGGGACCUAACACCAGAGAGUGUCACAGGUAGGAGGGGCCGUAAAAAGGGUGUGUCAGAGCUGGGUGUGGUCUUAAACAGGGAAUGUCAGAGGUGGGAUGGGAUGAAAACAGGGAGUGUCAGAGGUGGGACGAGCCUUAAAUAUACUAUGUCUGAUGUGGGAGGGUUUUUAAACAGGGAGUAUCAGAGAGGGGAGGAGCUUUAGAACUGGGAGUGUCAGAGCUUUGAUGGGUCUUAAACAGGAAGUGUUACUGGUGGGAGGUGUCUUAACCUGGAAGUGUAACAGGUGGGUGGGGCCUUAAACAGGGAAUGUCAGAGGUGGGAGGGGCCUGAAGUAGGGAGUGUCAGAGGUGGGAGGGGCCUUAACCAGGUAGUGUGUGAGUUGGGAGCGGCCUUAAAAAGGCUGUGUCUGAUGGGGGAGGGGCCUUAAACAGGGUGUGCAGAGGUGGGAGGGGCCUUAAACAAGGAGUGUCAGAGGUGAGAGGGGCCUUAACAGGGAGUGUCACAGGUGGGUGGGGCCUUAAACUGGGAGUGUCUGAGCUGGGAGGGUCAUUAAACAGGGCCUUAACAGGGAGUAUCAGAGAUGGGAGGGGCCUUAAUCAGGGAUUGUGUGAGGUUGGAAGGGCCUUAAGAGGAAGUGUCAGAGGUGGGAGGGACCUUAAGCAGGGUGUGUCAGAGUUGGGAAGGGUCUUAGAACAAGGAGUGUCACAUGUGGGAGUCCUUAAACAGGGAGUGUCACAGGUUGGAGGGGCCCUAAAAAGGGAGUGUCAGAAGUGGGAUGAGCCUUAUACAGGGAGUAUCAGAGAUGGGAGGGUCCUUAUACAGGGAGUGUCAGAAGUGGGAGGCGCCUUAAACAGGGAUAGUCAGAGAGGGGAGGAGCUUUAGAACAGGGAGUGUCAGAGCUUUGAUGGGUCUUAAACCGGAAGUGUUACUGGUGGGAGGUGUCUUAACCUGAAAGUGUCACAGGUGGGAGGGGCCUUAAACAGGGAAUGUCAGAUCUGGGAGGGUCAUUAAACAGGGAGUGUCAGAGGUGGGAGGGGCCUUAAACAGGGAGGGUCAGAGGUGGGAGGGGCCUUAGAACAAGGAGUGUCACAUGUGGGAGAGUCCUUAAACAGGGAGUGUCACAGGUGGGUGGGGCCUUAAGCAGGGAGUGUCAGAGGUUGGAAGGGCCGUAGAACAAGGAGUGUCACAUGUGGGAGUGUCCUUAAUCAGGGAGUGUCACAGGUGGGUGGGGCCUUAAUCAGGGAGUGUCCGAAGUGGGAGGGACUUUAACAGGGAGUGUCAGAAGUGGGAGGGGCCUUAAGCAGGGAGUGUCACAGGUGGGAGAGCCUUUGAAAUGGGACUGUCAGAGAUGGGACGAGACUUAAAAUAGGGAAUGCCAGAGCUUGUAGGGACCUAAGAACAGAGAGUGUCACAGGUAGGAGGGGCCUUAAAAAGGGUGUGUCAAAGCUAGGUGGGGCCUUAAACAGGGAGUGUUAGAGGUGGGAAGGGCCUUAAGCAGGGAGUGUCAGAUGUGGGAGAGGCCUUCAAUAGGCUGUGUCUGAUGUUGGAGGGGCCUUAAUUAGGGAGUGUCAGUGCUGGGAGGUGCCUUAAACAGGGAGUGUUAGAAGUUGGAGUGUCCUUAAACAGGGAGUGUCAGAGGUGGGGGAACCUAGAGGGGACCACAGAACGACUUCAUUCAAUCUCACUUUAUAUUACCCCAAUGGGUACAAAAAACAACCUGCCUUUUCUUUUCCCAUAAAUAGAUCGACUGAAUAUGAGGCAGCCCUUUUGAACAUUUCCCAAGUAUGUCCCCAGUGCUGUCCUCCUUUGAUCAAUGCUGGAAUGACACUCUUGGAUAGAGAUUACCAGUAUGUCAUCCUUCCCUUAAGGAACCAUGAAAGGGGGUCUUUUGUUCAGAAUGUUCUAGGCUGCAGCCAUCCCUACUGGAGCUAGGAAGGACCAGCCUGUCUGUCCCUUUCUUUGCUGAGAACUGUCACCAACCUUUACCAAACCAUCUCCAAAGGCUGGCCCUGUGCUAGGAUGAAGCCCUCAGGUGGGAGAUGAAUAGAUGCUGACCCCAAGGAUCAAUAUUGUAUAUUGGUUGCAAGGCAGAACAACAGUAAAGUCUAGUCCAAUGAUGGUGAACCUUUUAGAGACUGAGUGCCCAAACUACAAGUGCCUGUGAGCUGUGCUUCCAUUGGACUGCUGGGCAGAGGGACAGGGACAGAACUAUCCUCAGGCCCACAUGGAGAGGGGAAGGGGAGCAGCCCCCUCUGGCACAUGUGCCUAAGUUCACCAACACAGAGCUAGGCUCAUGGGAUUCCCCUGGUGUCCAUGGACUACCCUUUGAGAACAGCAGAAUCUCAGAGCUGGAAGGGGACUUCUGAGGCCAUAUAUUCCAAUCCCUGACUGAUCAAGGAUUGCCUCCUCCAGUGUUGCUAAUAGAUAAUCAUCCAGCUUCUGCUUGAAGAUCCCCAGUGUAAUGGUUAAAUUUAAUGGUUGGACAAUGAUUUUAUGAAAUUAUGUGGUCACCAAUAUUUAUUGUGUCUCGAGUCAGAAAUGUAUUUACAAAUAUUUUAAAAUGAAGAAGAAACAACAAAAUAGAGAACUGUGUAGAGGUUAUCUAUCUUAAUCCAGGCAGAGAUUAAUUAGCUCUCAAUCAGGAAGGCUCGUAGUGAGUAACCACGUGGUCUCCUCCAAGAUGGAAGCUAGUCUCUCCAGAAACUAGGAAAGGAGUCGGCCUUUCACUCACCCACGAAGUAGUCCAAGAGUCAGAGUCCAAGUUGAAGCCGAGCUCCAAGCCCCCGAUCCGAGCCAAAGUCUCCAGCAAAGUUCAUUCAAAGACUAUCUCCAGUAGAUACUCUCUUCAGACUAUCUUCUCAAAGACAAUCUGCUUUGAGGGAGUUUGGGGCUUGCUUUUAUGGUGCUGAAGGUGUCAACUCUUAUCAAAGGCCUCUGAAGGUGUCAACUCUGAUCAUAGGAUUCACAAGUUUCUGGAGUUGUCACCCAUUUUAGUAAGUGACUUGCAUCUUCUCCAUCUAGUUCAAGCUUUUUGUUCACUCAAUCAAAAGGUCUAGUGAGGUACUAAGUAGGGAUACUUACGUUAGUGUUAACUCAAGAUAGACAAUAGAGUAAAGAAUUCUCUUUCAUACCAGAAAGAGGGAAGCCAUCACCUCUGAGGCAGAUCAAGCCACUGGUCCACAGCUCAAACUAUUAAGAAAUGUGUCCAAGCAUCAAACUUAUAUUUCCUGUACCUCUCCUACCUCUCAGCAAAGAAUCUUAUCUCCUUCUUUCAUGGGAAAAUAAAGGUCAUCCAAGACAACUUUCCCUUAUUCUCUAUAGCAAAACCUCCUACAUAAGGCUCUAUCCUUUCCUUCUUUGCUUGAAUAUCUAGUGAAGAAGUAGCCCUUCCCAGUCUCCAACUGCCAAAUUGUCAAAGGAUGUGAACAGGUGGUUUUCUAAGAAAGAAAUCCACAUGACCAAAGAAAAAUAUUACAAAUCACUAAUAAUUAGUGAAACACAAAUGAAAGCAACUUGAGAUUCCACCACUCAUCUGUCAUAUUGGCAAAGAUAACCAAAAAAGGGAAAAUGACAAAUGUUGGAGGGGCUAGAUAAAAACAGGCACAAUGAUGCAUUGUUGGUGAAGCUGUUCUGGAAAGUCAUUUAACCUUAGGCCCCCAAAGUCAGGAAACUGUACAUAUUCUUUCAGAAGAGAUCAAAGAAAAAGUUAAAGGGCCUAUAUUUAAAAAAAUAUUUAGAGCAACUUUUUGGUUAUAGCAAAAAACUAGGGAAUUAAGGGAGUGCUCAACAAUUAGGGAAUGGCUGAAUAAAUUAUAGUAUGUGGAUUUCUGAAUUCAUUUUUGAAUUAUUUAUGAAUUUAAGUAUCAUGUGAUUAGAAAUGAUGAAGGGAGGGGGCAGCUAGGUGGCUCAGUGGAUUGAGAGUCAGGUCUAGAGACAGGAGGUCCUGGGUUCAAAUCUGGCCUCAGAUACUUCCUAGCUGUGGUACCCUGGGCAAGUCACUUAACACCUAUUGCCUAGGCCUUACUGCUCUUCUUCCUUGUAACCAGUAUACAAUAUUAAUUCUAAAAUGGAAGGUAAGAAUUUAAAAGACAAAGAAAUGCUGAAAGCAACAGUUUCAGAGAAACCUCAAAGACCUGCAUGAACUGAUAUCUGGUGAAAUGAGUAGAACCAGGAAAACAAUCUACAAAGUUACAACAUUUUAAAUAAGCAGCUUUGAAAGAUUCAAGAAUACCCAUCAAUGCAAUGAUGAUCCAAGAUUCUAGAGGACUCAUGAUGAAGCAUGCUCCCUACCUCCUCACAGAGAGAUGAUGGACUCUGUGCAGAAUAAGACAUACUGAUUUUGGAUAUACCCAAUGCAAGAAUAUGUUUUACUUGAUGAUAUAUUGGUUACAAAGGCGUUCCCACUCCCCUUUUUCAAUGAAAGGGGACUUAGGAAGUAGAGAAAAAUUUUUUAAAGAAGAAAUGAGCUUGAAGGCAGCUGGGUGCAUCAGUGGAUAGAGAACUAGGCCUGGAGAUAAGAAAUCCUGGGUUCAAAUGUGGCCUCAGAUACUUCCUGGCUGUGUGACUCUAGACAAAUCACUGUACCCUCAUUGUCUAUCCCUUACUGCUCUUCUGCCUUGGAACCAAUGUACAGUAUUGAUUCUGAGAUGGAAGGUAAGGGUCUUUUAAAGUAACUCUUGCUCUUUCUGAGGCCAAUCACUCUCCUCUUGUUCUCGAUUCCACUCCUUGCUGUCUUUUCCUCCUCUUCUUUCUUAUCUUCAAUCUCUCCUUAUCUCUUGGUUUCUUCCCUGAUGCCCUAUGAAUAUACCUAGGAUUCUCCCAGCUCUAACAACACCUUCAAGGCAUUUAGGCAGUACAGUGACUAGAGCACUGACCUCAAGUCAGGAAGACCCAAGUUCAAAUCCAGUGUGGGACACUUAGUAGCAGUCUUUAUGCUAAGUGCUUGGGAUACAAAGAAAAGUAAAAGACAGCAUCUGCCCUCAAGAAGAGGCAACAUCCAAACAGCCAUAUACAAACAAGCUAUAUAUGUAGGAUCAAUUUGAGAUAACCAACAGGGGACAGAUACUAGCAUUAAGGAGGAUUUGGAAAGGUUUCUGGCAGAUGGUAGAAUUUUAGCUGGAACUUGAAGGAAUUCAGAGAAACCAGGAGGGAGAAACAAGGAGGGAGAGAAUUCCAGGCAACAGGAAACAACUAGUGAAAACAGCCAGAGUUGGGAGAUGGAGAUCUUGUUCUAGGAACAUCAAGGAGAUCAGUGAAAAUUUGUAAAGGUUUCUAACAGUCAAACAGAAUUUGAUAUUUGAUCCUGGAAACCUCCCAGGGAGCUAAGGGGGUUUAUUGAGUGUGUGUGUGUGUGGGGGGGGAGAUGUGUGGCAUGUCUAGACCUACACUUUAGGAAGAUCAUUGGCAACUGAGUGGAGGAUGGGUUGGAGUAGGGAGAGAUUUGAGGUGGUAGCCAGAACCACAAGGUGGUUACCAUGAGAACCCAGGUGCUAGGUGAUGGAAUUUUGCACCAGAGUGAAAGCAUUAUCAGAGGAGAGAAAGGGCCAUGUUUUAAAGGUAGAAUCAACAGGUCUUGGCAAUUAAUUGGAUAUGGGGGAUAAGAGAUUGAAGAGUCCAGGAUAAUAUCUACUUUAUGUGCCCAGGUAAAAGAGAGAAUAGUGGUGCCCUGCACAGUAAAAGAAAAAGGGGAAGGGGAAGGGUUUGGGACAAAGAUAAUGAAUUUAAGACAACCAUAGGAUGGACAUACAGUUCAAGAUUCUAAGAAGUAGUUGGAGAUGCCAGACUGGAUGUCAGGAGAGAGGUUAGGGUUGGACUGAGACUCCAGUUGCAUAGAGAUGACCACUAAAAUGGGAAGUUUAUGAAAUUGUCAAGGGAAAUAGUUGAGGGAGAAGUGAAGAGACUUCAGGAUGGUGCCUUACGGGGACAUCCAGAGUUAAUGAGCAACUGAGGCAAACAGAGGUGAAGUGACUUGCUCAGGGUCUCACACAAUUAGUAAGCCUCUGAGGCCAGAUUCAAACUCAGGUCUUCCUGAUUCCAAAGGAGACCAAACAGGAGCAGCCAGAAAGGAAAGAGAUCAGGGUCAUGAAAACGGAAUGAGAACAAAGUAAUCAACAGUGUCAAAGGCUGCAGAGAAUUCAAGAGGGUUAAGGACUGAGGAAAGAUUUGAUCCUUGAGAGCACACUGAACUUUGGAGAGAGCAGUUUCAGCUGCCUGAUGAGGUCAGAAGCCAGAUUUCAGAGAGUGAGGGGAGAGGAACUGAGGAACUGAAGGUUGGAGCCAGUCAUCUCAAUGGAUUCAGCCAAGAAAGGGAGGAGAGGCAGAUAUCCAGUGAGUGGUUUGUGAGGAUGGGGGAAGCCUGAGCAUGUUUGUUGGCAGUGGGGAAGCAGCCAGUAGACAGGGAGAGACUGAAGAUCAAUGAGAGCAUGAGGAUGGCACAGAGGGCAACCUGCUGGAGAAGAUGGGAUAGGAUGGGAUUGUUUGUGCAUGGAGAGGGGGUCACCCUGGCAAGGAGUGAAGAAGCCACCUCCUCAUGUGAGAGGAGUGAAGGAGUAGAUAGUGAAAGAAGGCAUCGGGGAUGUGAGAUGAGGAGGAGAGAAGAUGAGGGAGCUCUUAGCGAAUGACCUCAACUAUUUUGGUUAAAUGUGAAGCAUGGUCCCCAGCUGAGAGGGGAGCUAAGGAAGAUCUGAGAAGGGAUGAAAAAAGUUGGUAAGAGUGACGAGUCAGUGGGAUAAUGAAUCAAUUAAAGUAGCACAACAUUAGGUAACAUAAUCGUUGGUUGUUCAAUCACUUCUGACUGUAGGUGACCCCAUUUGAGGUUUUCUUGGCAAAGAUAUUGGAAUGUACAUUGUACAGAGGAGGAAACCGAGGCAGGCAGAGGUGAAGUGACUUGCCCAGAGUAACACAGCCAGGAAGUGUCCAGAUUGGAACCUGAAUCCAGAUUGGACCUCCCUUCUCCAGGCCUUGCUCGAUAUCCACUGAGCCACCUGGCUGCCCCUGCCAAUUCCUUUCAAGUCAAUUCCACAAGCAUUUCUUGAGAGCAUCAAUGGGUAUUCUGUGCUGUGGGUGCAUCUUCCUACAAAGCACUGAGUUAGAUAUGGGAAGACAAAGGGGGGAAAAAAGGUCCCAGCCCUACAUGGGGCUAGUUGACCAGAGUGGGAGGAAUACAAUCUAUGAAUGGAGAAGUAAAUGGAAGAUCUUUGGAGGAAGAAGAGAACACCACCAGCUAAGGAGAUCCAGAAUGUCUUUCCUUCCUAGAAGGCUUUUAGGGCAAUACUAUUAACAGCUGGCAGAAUUGAAAACAGCUGAAUAACAACAAGCUAAACAGCUGACAUCUUUAUGGUACUAUAAGGUUUAGGAGCCACUUAACAGACCUUGUUUCAUUUAAAACCUCACAACAACCCCAGACAACUGGUGCUAUUAUUAGUCUUCUUUUAUAGACGAGGAAACCGAGGCUGACUAAAUGACUUGCCCAGAAUCACCCACCUCGUAAAUAUCAGUGAUGAUUUCGGAACUAAAGUUUCCUUCCUCUGCAACUGUGCUAGGCUGCCAAAGAGCAGUAAGGGCUACACAAUGGGGUGGAGUGACUUGCCCAGGGUCACCCAGCUAGGAAGUGGCUGAGGUCACAUUGGAACCCAGGACCUUCCAUCUCUAGGUCUGGCUCUCAAUCCACUGAGCCACUCAGUUUUCUAAGGCAAAUUUGAGGAAGACUUGAGGAGGAUGGGCAUUCCUAUGCAAAAACAUGGAGACAGGAAGCAACUACCUAGCCCCUCCAGCUCUUCUGACUCAAACUGAUACUUGGUAUCUGUUCCAAGAUUCUAGGAGGCAAGGGUUUAAAAAAAGAAAGGAAAAGCAAAGGGACUGGCAACUUGUACCCAAUGUCCCUGGUUCUCUCUGGGGGCCAAGCAGAACAGGUCAAAUGUCUCUUCUAUGUGACAGCCCUUUGGAUAUUGGAGGGUGACUCAUCUCCCCCAAGCCUUUGCUUCUUCAGGCUACAUAUUCCCAUGUCCUUCAACCACUCCUAAUGUAAGGCACCAUCGCCAUCCAGUACAUUGAUGCCCUCUCUCGUCCCCACUCUCCAGCCCUUGACUUCCUACGCUUCUCUUAACAAGGCCUGCAGCUGUGUUUAGGUUCCAGACUACCACAUGCCAUUGUUGACUCGUGUUAGAUCAGGGAACUCUCUGUAUCCUUUGCCAAGUCUAGCCAUCCCUUUUUCCUUCUCCCUGUGGUCAAGUGUAAACUGCAGUGGUGUGCCCAUAUUAGAUUUCAUCUGUUCUAGCUCCCUUAAAGAUCAGAGGAUCUUUGCUCUAGAGAAGGAAGAGGCCUCAGAAACCUCCCAGAGGAGGAAACUCAUCUCCAGAGGUGGUAAAUGACUUGCCCAAGGUCACAAGGUGAGUAAGUGACUGAGCUAUUAUUUCUGGGUGGGUCUGCCAAGCAGAUCGAUCCAAUGAACAUUCAUUAAGCAGGAAUUGUGCUCAGCCUUUGCUGCCCUUCCCUUUCCCCUUGGGCUUUGUGUCUGUCAAGGAUUGUCGAAGCAUUCCAUCUCAGUCUUUAUCAAAGGAGUCGAGAAAAAUGUUAGGUAUCUGUUGACUGAAAGGAGCCUGGCAAGGCAGCUGUGGCUGGUUCUUAGAGUAGGAGAGGAAGGGGUAAGAAGCCCAGAGAGAUAGGAAGAGCCUUCGGCCUCCAACUGAGGACUUUCUAUUUGAUCAGGGAGGUAAUUGGGAGCCUCUGGAGUUGACUGAGUGGGAGCUUGGGAGCGGUGACAAAAUCAGCCCUUUAGGGCUUUAGGAAGAUGGCUUUGGCAGCUGAGUGGAAGACAGCUCGGAGAAAGGAAAACCCUGAGAGGGAGAUCAAAUAGAAGGACAUCGCCUGAAUUGAUCCUGGCAGGAGGUGCUGGAGGCCUGGGCUAGGAUGGUAUCCUGUGAGUGGGGAGGAGGGGCAUAGAAGAGAGAUGUGUGGAGGCAGAAAUGACAUCUUGACAACAGAUUCUAUGUGUGGGAGCGACAAGGCAAGGAUGCCACUGAGGUUGCCAACCUGGGGAACUGGGAGGAUGAUGGUGCCCUUGACAAUAAUAGGAAGGUUCAAAAGAAAAAAGUUGUGGGCGAAAAAUAAUGAGUUCCAAAUUGGCCAUGUGGAGUUUGAGAUGGCUGCAGGAUGUCUGGUUUAGUAUGUUCAAAAGGCUGUGCCAGCGUGGCACUGUAACUUGGGAAAGAAUAGAGCUGCAAACGAAGAGCCAAGAAUUAUUUGUGCAGAGAUGGUGUCAUUCAAAGCAUGGGCACUAAGGGGAGAUAAUGUGGAAAACUGAGUGGGCACAGGGCCAACCCUUUGGGGAUACUCCCAGUUAGAGGACACAACCUGAGUGAAGAUUCAGCAUCCAGCUAAGGAGCCUGGGUAGUGGUGGAACAGGCAGGAGGAGAACCGGGAGAGAUCCGAGUCAUGAAAGCAAAGAAGAGAAAGAGUAUAGGGGCAGCCAGGUGGUUCAGUGGAUAGAGAACCUGGCCUGGAGAUGAGAGGCCCUGGCUUUAUGUCCAGGCUGGGUGACCUUGGGCAAGUCAUUUAACCCCAGCUGUCUAGCCCUUACUGCUCUUCUCUCUUGGAACCGAUCCUUAGUAUCAAUUCUAAGGCAGAAAGUAAGGGUUUACAAACAUUUUUGGCAAUUAAGAGAUCAUUGGAGAGAGCACUUUCAGUUGAAUGGAAGUUGGAAGCCAUAUUGUAGAGGGCUUAAAGGCAAACGAGAUGAAUGCAAAGCAACCAUUGCCUAAAAUGUCCAUUUUCUAUGCUUUGCUGAAUGUUUUAUUCUCUUCCUCUUUCUUUUUCUUUUGGAAAGCUUGCUUGCUGGUAAGGAUGGUUUUCUGGGAGGGGAGAGGGAAGGAAUUCAGAGAGACAUAAACCAAAUUGUUCUUCUGGCCUUUUGAAACUUGAGAGGUGAUAGCCUCCAGAUGAAUUGCCUUUACCUAAAACAGGAAAACAGAAAGAAAACUUCAAGGCAAAAGAAGGAGGCCACAUGUGGGCCUCAGAGGGGCCAAUGCCUAAGGCCUCUUCCCCUCCAAAGUUCUCUCUCACUGGAUCCUGUCAACAAAGGGAGGGGUAGAACCAAGAUUGAUCAUCUGAAAGAAUGACCCUUUGAAGACACCUCCAGUUGCUGAUCUGUAACUAAAGUUGCCAUUUGCCAGAACCAGAACCACUUAUGGAAUGUCUAAACACGUUCCAAACAAAGUCUCUUGAAGGCACCUCCAUCAGACAUCAUCAUGGUUCUCCAAGCAGCGUGCUCUUCAGCCUCUUCCGCAUGGGGAAACAGAGUCAGAGGCAAUGGGUGACAUUAUACAAGGUGGAAAGCAUUAAGUGACAAGAGGGACAGUGGGAAUUCCGAGUACAGAUUGCUUUCUCUAGAAGUUUAACCCAGCAAGGGAGGGGAGAUAAUAGGAGGAGUGAAAUCAAAUGAGUUUUUCUCCAGAAGGGGAGAAACAUGGACAGCACAGAAGGAGUCAGUAGAUAGAGAGCAAAGAUAAGAGAAAAUGAAACGAUAGGGAAGGCAAUCUGAUGGAGAAAAUGGGGGAGUAGAUAGCAAAAAAACCCCAAUCUAACUCAGGAACCCAAUAUAAAUAAAAUUUCUACCCAAUAUUUGACCCAGUGAUAAAUCCUGAAACAUAAACUACCAGAGGUGAGGGUGGGGAAACUGUACUUAAUAGAAUUAUUGGAGGGAAAUUUGAAAAACAUUUCAGAAGAAAUUUGGUUUGGACCAGAAUCUGACACUCAACAGCAUCAUAAAUUCCAAAAGACUGAACCAAAACCUAAAUAUAGAAGACCACAUCAAAAGCAAGUAGAGGAGAAUGGAAAGAAAGAGAUUUCAUAACUGUGGCCAUGACCAGGUGGAGAAUUUAUAAUGAAACUAGGAAUAGAGCAAAUGGAGAAUUUUAAUAACACGAAAUUAAAAAGCUUUUACAUGAACAAAAUCAACAUAGCUAGGAUAAGAAGGGAAACUGUCAAGUGGGAAAUUAUUUGCAUAAAAUGAUUAUUGUAAAAGUUUGCCAUGAAGGAUAGAUGUAGAAUUUACAUAAAAAUAUAUAAGCUCAAGUCCUCGUGAUCGAACAGUUUAAAAAGAAAAUUAAAUGAUCAGUGAUCAUAUGGAAAUGUGAGAACUAAUAGUAAUAAGUAAUAAGAGAAAUACAAAUUAAAGCAACUCAAGUCUAUAGUAUAGCAAAUUGGCAGAUAUGAUGACAUUGAGAAAUGACUGAUUUUUUUUAAAACCCUUAGCUUCCAUCUUAGUUCCCAGGUAGAAGAGUGGUAAGGGCUAGGCAAUUGGGUAGCCUGGAGAUGGGAGGUUGUGGGUUCAAAUUUGACUUUGCACACUUCCUAGCUGCAUGACACUGGGCAAGUCACUUAACCCCCAUUACCGCCCUCCCAAAUGAAAGAAAUACAAAAUUAAACACCUAAGGACUAAAGUAUACAUCUCUGGUGUCUUGUACUUAAGAUCCCCUUUUCCAAAUUGACAUUGAACCAUUAACACAGUGACUACUUUCUGAGUCUGAACAUGCAGUUAGAGCUGAACCUAACUGUACUGGUGUCUAACCAACAUCUCCAUCCUUUCUACAAGAAUAGCUCUAAGACUUUGUGAAAUGCUUUCCUAAAAUCAAGGGAACUUUUAUCUACAUCAUUCUCUGAUCUACCUUUGCAAAAAACAAAGUGAGGUUAGUGUGGCAUAAUCUGCUCUUGAUGAAGCCAUGCUGGCUCUUUAUAAUCAUUACUUCUUUUUCUAGAUGAUUCCUUUUUUUUGAACUCUAACUUUGUCUUAUAAUAAUCAAGAGAAGGAGCUAAUACAAUUCUACAAAAUGCCUUCGAGGAAUAAAUAUGCCCAAUUAAAAUCAUCUGCUUGUAGACUAAUAACAGUAUUUGGCAGUAUCUAACUGUGGGAAAAGACAUUUUCAGAGAUGAAAUAUGAAAAAUCUAAUCACAGAUCAACAUUAAUAGAUGAAUAUUAGUAAUCAAUUUUGAUGAGAGAAUACUAACUUUAAUCCCCAAUUAAGAGAAAUAUUAUUUCCCCCUCCAAAGAAUUUUCAUUAUUAGUAGACCAAUAUUAUUUUAAAAACCAAAUUAUUAUUAAAAUUUGAAUUUCAUCAAUACAAUUUUGCACAAUUUUAUUUUCUCUU